rnacentral:rRNA from 1 species
UGUUGGGGUAACGGCCCAACAAGCCAUUGAUCGGUACGGGUUGUGGGAGCAAGAGCCCGGAGAUGGAUUCUGAGACAUGAAUCCAGGCCCUACGGGGCGCAGCAGGCGCGAAAACUUUACAAUGCGAGCAAUCGUGAUAAGGAAACCCUGAGUGCCUGUCAAUGCAGGCUGUUCUGGUGUCUAACACACACCAGGAGAAAGGGCGGGGCAAGACCGGUGCCAGCCGCCGCGGUAAUACCGGCUGCUCGAGUGAUAGCCGCUUUUACCGGGCUUAAAGCGUUCGUAGCUUGGUCGUUAAGUCUCUGGGGAAAUCUUUUGGCUUAACCAAAAGGCGUCUCAGGGAAACUGGCGAUCUUGGAACCGGGAGAGGUAAGACGUACUUCGGGGGUAGGAGUGAAAUCUUGUAAUCCCCGAGGGACGACCGAUGGCGAAGGCAUCUUACCAGAACGGCUUCGACAGUGAGGGACGAAAGCUGGGGGAGCAAACCGGAUUAGAU